rnacentral:lncRNA from 1 species
CCCGCCCAUGGCGCCUGCGCGGUGUGCGCUGUGGCGGCCGAGCCGGGAGAGCUGAUCAGCGUCGCGGCGGCGGCAGCUGGAGACAAAGCGCCCGACUAAUGAAUGGGACGGUCCUCCCUGCCCUUCCCUUUAACUCCUUCGGGUCCGGCCGAGCGGCGGUCACUGGUGGCCUCCCGCUUCCGCGGCAGCUGACCGGCAAGGUAGACUCCUCAGCAUCAAUUUUGGAUAGCAUGUAUUGAACCUGAAAUGAAGCCAAUGGAACACAGUGGAGCAGAUAUAUGGUGUGAAAGGAUCAUAAUUACCUAAUCAACAUCAACAGAAUGGCUUCCUUGAUGAAGAAAAUGGAACAUUCAGUUCAUAGGCUUAUGUCUACAACAUGAAGUUUUUAACAGUAGCUGUCUUUGAGAAAUUAAUUUGUGACCUGAGAUCUCCUGGUCCCGGAAAGAAAUUGAGAUUUUACAAAUUAGA